rnacentral:rRNA from 1 species
ACGCUCGACACCUACGAGAGGCAGCAGUGGGGAAUAUUGCACAAUGGGGGAAACCCUGAUGCAGCGACGCCGCGUGAGCGAAGAAGUAUUUCGGUAUGUAAAGCUCUAUCAGCAGGGAAGAAACUGACGGUACCUGACUAAGAAGCACCGGCUAAAUACGUGCCAGCAGCCGUGGUAAUCUGAGCGGGCUGGCAAGGC